CCUACGGGGGGCAGCAGUGAGGAAUAUUGGUCAAUGGGCGCGAGCCUGAACCAGCCAAGUAGCGUGAAGGAUGACUGCCCUACGGGUUGUAAACUUCUUUUAUAAAGGAAUAAAGUGAGGCACGUGUGCCUUUUUGUAUGUACUUUAUGAAUAAGGAUCGGCUAACUCCGUGCCAGCAGCCGCGGUAAUACGGAGGAUCCGAGCGUUAUCCGGAUUUAUUGGGUUUAAAGGGGGCGUAGUUGGGUUGUUAAGUCAGUUGUGAAAGUUUGCGGCUUAACCGUAAAAUUGCAAUUGAUACUGGCAGUCUGGAGUACAGUUGAGGUAGGUGGAAUUCGUGGUGUAGCGGUGAAAUGCUUAGAUAUCACGAAGAACACCGAUUGCGAAGGCAGCUUACUAAACUGCCACUGACAUUGAUGCACGAAAGUGUGGGUAGCAAACAGGAUUAGAUACCCGAGUAGUC
rnacentral:rRNA from 1 species